AUGGCUGAGGUGAAAGAGAAGGUACAGCCACCUGACACGGAUCCGGUCGAAAUAGAAAACAGGAUUAUAGAAUUAUGUCACCAGUUCCCUCAUGGAAUCACAGACCAAGUAAUUCAGAAUGAAAUGCCUCAUAUAGAAACCCAGUAGCAGGCAGUGGCCAUCAAUAGACGGCUGUCCAUGGGUCGGUUGGAUCUCUUAAGGAGCAAUACAGGACUUCUGUAUAGAAUAAAGGAUUGUCAGAAUGCUGGUAAAAUGAAAGGAUUAGAUAACCAAGAAAAACUAGUAUAUCAAAUCAUGGAGGAUGCAGGAAAUAAAGGAAUAUGGAGCAGAGAUAUCCGAUACAAAAGUAACUUGCCAUUAACAGAAAUUAACAAAAUUCUGAAGAAUUUGGAAAGUAAAAAGCUUAUCAAAGCUGUUAAGUUUGUGACAGCCUCAAAAAAGAAAGUAUAUAUGCUCUAUAACCUGCAACCGGACCAGUCAGUGACUGGUGGAGCCUAGUACAGUGACCAGGAUUUUGAAUCAGAAUUUGUAGAGGCGCUUAACUAACAGUGUUUUAAAUUCCUACAAACCAAGGCAGAAACAACCCGAGAAAGCAAACAGAAUCCAAUGAUAUAAAGAAAUAGUUCAUUUGCCUCAUCACAUGAAGUGUGGAAGUAUAUCUGUGAAUUGGGGAUCAGUAAGGUAGAGUUGUCCAUGGAGGACAUUGAAACGAUCUUAAAUACACUCAUUUAUGAUGGGAAAGUGGAGAUGACUAUCAUUGCUGCAAAAGAAGGCACGGUUGGCAGUGUAGACGGACACAUGAAACUGUACAGAGCAGUCGACCCAAUCAUCCCGCCCACGGGUUUGCUCCAAGCCCCGUGUGAACUCUGCCCGGUUUUUGAUGACUGCCAUGAAGGUGGUGAGAUUUCACCAUCUAACUGUAUUUAUAUGACAGAGUGGCUUGAAUUUUAAUAGAGAACUAGGAACUUUACUGACAUUUUGCAAAUGAAGUUACUUUGGGAGCAGAUAAUUUAACUCAUGAUGGAACAUCAAAUUCCCUUGAAAGCAAACUUCACAAUAAUGGAUAGACUUGCUGCUAUGAAAAAGUAUUUUUUUAACUAUGAAGACUAAAUUUAUAUUGGUAGAGUAGCCAACAGAAUAUGAAGCAGGUAAGGUUAAUAGUGAAAUCCAUUCUUCAAUAAAUAAAAUAUUUUGAACUUCAGGAAGACCACCUUCUGAAGCUUUCAAGACUUUUGAUGGUUCAUGGAAAAAGAAGCCAACAAAUCCAUAUUUACCACAUACUACAAUAAUGACUAAAGUUUAAAAAUGCCCAUUUUAAAGUUAUUUAUUAAGGUCUUCAUUGGAAAAUUUUAUAUCUGGUUCACUAUUUCCAUUUCUGUUUUCUCUUUUCUCAGUGGUUUCAUUGAGAAGGAAUCAAAAGCGGUGAGGCAGGAAUAGCACUUGGAGGCAUGAGUGGGGGAGAGAAUGGAACAUCCCUUUCCACACACUAUUCAUUCCUUUUUACAUUAGAAAUAUUC